GCGGGAUGGAGGUGCCAGCCUGGCCCAGGGAGGGAAAUGUCACCCACAUCAGGCCGGGCAACUCAGGUUCAACCAUCUUGGGAGGGCUGGAAAACCAACCCUGCGUCCAUCCCUCCGGCUCAGUCCUGCCGUGGAGGAGGAAGGAGGACGCGCCCGGGCAUGGCUGCAGAGCUUUUGGGUUCCUGCCGAAUCGACGCCCUCCCCUCUCCCCCCUCAUCCUUCCCGCCUGGCCUGCGUCUCCCCUCCCUUCCCUUCUCCCUCCCAUCCCGCAGCAAACAAAAUGGCUGCUCCAUGGCCAUUUUGUUUCCCAUCUGGAAGGGAAAAGCCGGGACGCCGGGACUUGGCUCUUUUUUGGAGGCUGCGGCCAUGUCCGAGCCCAACUCUCCCGUCUCUACGUGGCACCGGCUGUAGCAAGAGAGAGAAAGGGAAAGAAAAAAAAAAAGAGAGAAAAAAAAAAGAAAAAAAAAAGGACAUUUUGGAAUGAGACCAAAGGCAGAGGCAGAGAGUGGGUAGUUUUGGCGUAUGUUGAGCACUGAAAAUGCCUGGAAUUGCCAAACUGAGCUUUUGUAUGAGCAGCGUAAGGGCUACUCGGUGCACGCAGAGCCGCGGGGCUGCACGGAAUAGCCGGACGGAAAGUGAUUCUGCAUUUCCUUCAGUAGCCUGGAUGUCUUGGCGUUAGUAGCCACGUCACUUUGUUCGUGGACACUCUGAGGAGCAGAUCCCUGCCCUGUGGCACGGGGGGGAUCAGGCUCUGAUAAGGUGCUGGAAUGAUCGUCCUGCUGUUCCUUGAGUGGCUUUCCAGACAUGUGGAGAGAAGCAGACACUUGCAGAGCGGAGCUGGGAAGGAGAGCAGAAAGAGGUGAAAAAUGGCUUUCCUUGCACAGAAAGGACCUGUGGAGCAGCCAAUGCCUGGAUAAGGCUCAUCCUAGUGCCUGGAUAAGGAUGAUCUUAGUGCCUGGAUAAAAAUCAUCUCAGUGCAUGGAUAAAAAUCAUCUCAAUGCCUGGAUAAGAAUCAUCUCAUAGCCUGGAUAAGGAUCAUCCUAUAGACUGGAUAAGAAUCAUCUCAGUGCCUGGAUAAGAAUCAUCUCAGUGCAUGGAUAAGGAUCAUCUCAGUGCCUGGAAAAGAAUCAUCUCAGUGCACGGAUAAAAAUCAUCUCAGUGUCUGGAUAAGGAUCAUCUCAUAGCCUGGAUAAAGAUCAUCUCAGUGCCUUAGGCUGCCACGGUCCCAAGCUGUCCUUGAGGCUGAGGUAGUAGAUUGAAUAGUUGUGGAGUCUGGUCCUCCCUCUGAGCUAACUAUACAAUCUACUGUCUUUCCUAAGGAGACAGUCAGGUCUUCAGCUCUGCUCGUCCAUUUCUACACCAGCUGUGGGGCAGGUGGUGCCAGGAAAGCAAAUCCGUGCUGUGACCCGUCUGUUCUGCUCUGUGGAGGUGAGGUAGUAGGUUGUAUAGUUUGGUGGGAGGGAUUUGAUCCCAUUUCAGGUGAUAACUAUACAGUCUAUUGCCUUCCUUAAAGAGCAGCAAAACCACGGAGGAGCUCCCGAGGCAUUGCUUCUUUUGUUGAGGAUCCAAAAAAGCAGCAUGGCAUUGUUAAACAGCUCAGUGGGUGUUUCUCUUACAGCAUCCAGAACUGCAUUCUUCCAGGAAUUGCUUCAUGCCUCAGGCACUGGAGCAUGGAGCCACCUGCUUCCAGGGAACCCACCUCUCUAAGAUUCCAGAGAACCAGGGAAAUGAGUCUGCACAGCAGCUCAGUGUUCAAUACUAUUCUUUUGUUUUGUUUUGUUUUGUUUUUUUUUUUUUUUUCCAGGAGAUGGAUUCAAGUUGUAAGGUGUUUAAAUGUGUUGAUCUUUUCAGGUCUGGAGGGGAGCAGAUACUUUUGUUUAAAUGGGACAGAUGUGAGUUAAUUAUUUCACGUUUUUGUGCCCAGUUCUGAAGUUUGGGUUCAGAAGCAGACCCAGGGCCAAGCUCAGCCUGUGGACUCAGAGCCCUGGGAGCUGAUCAGAUUUGGCUGCUUGGCCCCUGCUCAGGAAGUGCAUUUGGUUUUGGACAAGUUCCCAGCCUGUCCCAUGGAACAGAGUCAGAGGGUUCUUUCUGCUCUGAUAAUCCCUUAUCAACUGAACUCCCCCACAUGCAAACCCCGUCAGGGAAUUUUGGGGCUCCUGGGUGUUUACAUAAGGUGAACCAAUGAUUCCAACUAAAAUCUUGUCCUGAAGUGGAGACAGGUAAGGAAGAGACAUGAGGCAGAAGGAGCAGGUUCUAAUCCUCCUGGGCUCUCCCUGACAACAGACAUGAGAGAAGUCAUCAUCGCUCAGAGCUCUGGCCCUUGGCAAGGGACAGGGAACUGUUAAUUCUUCUGUUUCUUAGGAGCAGAUGGGACGAUCCCUCUGCCGUUUUCCAGAGUGAGUAGGAUCAGGAGCAGGAGUGGAGCUGUAACCCGAUCAGGGCUGCACCGGGAAGGACAUUUCAGGCCAUUAUCACGAGCAUCUCAGUGCCAGGGAGACUGUGAGACCCGAGACUGGGGAGCGAGGGCAAGCAGAGGACACCUUCUCAGAUGAAAUGGGAGGGAGAGAGCACAGAGAAAUUGGAGCCCUCCCAUUUCAGAGGCUCAGGGAGAGCCAGAGCUGGCUGCUGGAGUCCCCAGGAUGAAGCAGAAUUUCAGGCCCCUCUGCUGGGACAGGGCGGAGCUGCAGCUGCUGGGUGGGGAUGCUGCAGCUCCGAGCAGAGAAGGAAUGCAGCCCUCUCUCCAUAAAUCUGGCUUUUCAGCAGUCCUGGCGACUUGCUGAGCAAAACUACAGCUUGCUGCUCUGAGCUGCAUUAUUAUCCUCCAGCUGCUUGCUCAGGGGCAGGGCUCCUGCCCACAGAUUGCCUGGAAGGUUCCAAAAUAGCAGCACAAGGAUGGGAACAGGGCAGCAAAUCCACUUCAUCUGGAGAGGUGUCCCCUGGAAAAGAGCUAAUCCCACAUGUCCCAGAUGGAUUCUGUUCCGUCCCCCUCCAUGGCAUUGAUACUAAUGCAGAGAAUCUCAAACAGUGGAACUGUGUGAGCUGGAAGCCAUGAAUAAAAUAUUACUGGAGAUAUUCCCUCGUGAAAAUAAACUUGGUUUGACUUUUUUAAAA